CGCCUCUUGCAUCUCGCGUAUAAGAGGUCCUGCCUGCCCUGUGACUCCAAGUUUAACGGCCGCGGUAUUUUGACCGUGCAAAGGUAGCGCAAUCACUUGUCUUUUAAUUAAAGACCUGUAUGAAUGGCAAAACGAGGGCUUAACUGUCUCCUUCCCUUAGUCAAUGAAAUUGAUCUCCUCGUGCAGAAGCGAGGAUACUACCAUAAGACGAGAAGACCCUGUGGAGCUUUAGACACACACCGGACCUUAAGUCAAUAGCCCAACGCUAAACAAUUAAAAAUCCGCUGAAUGUCUUCGGUUGGGGCGACCGCGGAGUAAAACCUAACCUCCGUGAGGAAAGAGGACAACCCUUAAAACUCAGAACGCCAGUUCCAAGAAACAAAAUUUUUGACCUAAAGACCCGGCAAACGCCGAUCAACGAACAAAGUUACCCCAGGGAUAACAGCGCAAUCCCCUACGAGAGUCCCUAUCGACCAGGGGGUUUACGACCUCGAUGUUGGAUCAGGAUACCCCAAUGGUGCAGCCGCUAUUAAUGGUUCGUUUGUUCAACGAUUAAAAUCCU
rnacentral:rRNA from 1 species